CAGGACGUUACUUUACUUCUCUGAACUUUAGUUUCUUCAUCUAUUAAGUGGGGCUGUUAUGGAAAGUCAAGAACAACAAGUUUGACAGUGAACUUCACAGUUUUGCCCCAAGGCAGGCGUUAAGGUAGGCUAGGUGACCAGGUCAUUUGGCAGUGAUCCUGGGGAAGCACAUGUGGAGGACUGAGUGGAGAAAGAAGGAAGGGGGAGAAGCCUACAGAGUCUUCAUUAAGGAGUGGGUUAAAAUUCUGGGCAAUGGCGGAUCCAGUCCUAUCCACUGGCAAACUGGGGAUCACACCCUAGAAUCAUCCCGAAAGGAUGAGACAUUUACUACUGAUGCUGAUCCCCUGGAUGUGGGACACCCUGAAGGAGUCAAACCCCCUGUUCUCCUGGGGUGCCCCUGCUGGUGAUGGAACAAAUCACGGGGUGGCAGAGAAACCCCUCAACAGUGAAGGAAGCAGCUGGGUGAGAAUGGUGCUGGAAACCCACCCACCCCCACUCCCUCCUGGCUGCAGUCUGAAGAAAAAACACAAAGCAAUCUGCUUUAAACCCUUGUCACCCAGGAUGAGGUCUCUGGCUCCUCAUGGCCCACAAAGACGGUGCUGGGCGUCUGCCAGCUGUGCUUAAUAUUUCAAAAAGCCUAACUAAAAAUUUUGCAUUUUCUUACACAUAAUUAGGUCACCCCGACUAAUUAAAAUCACAAAUUUUUCUUUUGGCUGGAAUUUUGAUAAUAGCAGAGAUCACGUGAUGAUUGGAAGUCCUGAUUGGUCUUUGAUGAUAUCACAGAAAUUCUGAGACAUGGAAGCAGGACCACACUGUGACUUCCACCCCGUGCCUAAUGAACUCAUCCCCUAAACAGCCAGCACGGCAAGAAGCCCUGGUCGUGAGGCGGGACCCUCCACCCCUUCAAGACAGAACUCUGCGGUGAAAGUCCAUGCACACAGACAGGACACACAAAAGGAGUCCUUGAUGACUAAAAGGCUGGGAGUCACUGACCUACCUUUGGAGGCUACUGGUCUUCUGAUAGAAGUUUGGGGGUCACUGUGAAGGGGUGACAUUCUCCAAAUGUCUUUACAUGUUAUGGAGUGCCUCUGACAGAACGGCAAUCGCUAGGAGUAUGAACAACAACAAGGAGAACAGUUCUUCUGAAUCUCCUUACAAGUGUUGUCCUGUGUGCAGAUCAAGAAAUUCCUUACCAGCAAUCUUCAGUAAGCCUGAAAAAUUUAGAGUCCCUGAAAUUCUCUUAACAACCAGGUACAUAUCGUGUCUAAGGAAAUGUGUCAGGACACAUCCAAAAUGAGAAAUUGCCAGC